AUUCCCCCGGUUAACCGUAAAAUGGGUAAAUAUCCGAAGAACACCUUGUGGCGAAAGCGGUUUAAUAGCGAACCAUUAACGUUGAGGCGCAAAGGUAAGGGGAGCAAACCAGGAAUAGAUACCCUGGUAGUCCUAGCCCUAAACGAUGAAUGGUUGGUUGACCAAGUACCCAAUCCUGUCGUGCCGGAGCUAACGCAUUAAGCAUUCCGCCUGGGGAGUACGUUCGCAAGGCUGAAACUCAAAGGAAUGGACGGGGGCCCGCACAAGCGGUGGAGCAUGUGGUUCAAUUCGACGCAACGCGCAGAACCUUACCAGCCCNUGACAUCCCGGUCGCGGUUUCCAGAGAUGGAUUCCUUCAGUUCGGCUGGACCGGAGACAGGUGCUGCAUGGCUGUCGUCAGCUCGUGUCGUGAGAUGUUGGGUUAAGUCCCGCAACGAGCGCAACCCCCGUCCUUAGUUGCUACCAUUCAGUUGAGCACUCUAAGGAGACUGCCGGUGAUAAGCCGCGAGGAAGGUGGGGAUGACGUCAAGUCCUCAUGGCCCUUACGGGCUGGGCUACACACGUGCUACAAUGGCGGUGACAAUGGGAUGCUAAGGGGCGACCCUUCGCAAAUCUCAAAAAGCCGUCUCAGUUCGGAUUGGGCUCUGCAACUCGAGCCCAUGAAGUUGGAAUCGCUAGUAAUCGUGGAUCAGCAUGCCACGGUGAAUACGUUCCCGGGCCUUGUACACACCGCCCGUCACACCAUGGGAGCUGACUCAACCAGAAGACGAUCAGGCUAACCGCAAGGAGGCCUUCGGCGAAGGUGGGGUUGGUGACUGGGGUGAAGUCGUAACAAGGUAAAUCGAAUUCCCGCGGCC
rnacentral:rRNA from 1 species